UUUUAUGAGAGUUUGAUCCUGGCUCAGGACGAACGCUGGCGGCGUGCCUAAUACAUGCAAGUCGAACGCUUCUUUUUCCACCGGAGCUUGCUCCACCGGAAAAAGAGGAGUGGCGAACGGGUGAGUAACACGUGGGUAACCUGCCCAUCAGAAGGGGAUAACACUUGGAAACAGGUGCUAAUACCGUAUAACAAUCAAAACCGCAUGGUUUUGAUUUGAAAGGCGCUUUCGGGUGUCGCUGAUGGAUGGACCCGCGGUGCAUUAGCUAGUUGGUGAGGUAACGGCUCACCAAGGCCACGAUGCAUAGCCGACCUGAGAGGGUGAUCGGCCACAUUGGGACUGAGACACGGCCCAAACUCCUACGGGAGGCAGCAGUAGGGAAUCUUCGGCAAUGGACGAAAGUCUGACCGAGCAACGCCGCGUGAGUGAAGAAGGUUUUCGGAUCGUAAAA
rnacentral:rRNA from 1 species